rnacentral:rRNA from 1 species
AAACUAGGAUUAGAUACCCUAUUAUGAAAUAUGAGAGAUUGGUAGUAGUUAGUUAUAUGAAAUCUAAAGAUUAUGGCGGUAUUCUAAGCUUUUUAGAGGAAUUUAUUCUAUAAUUGAUAAGACACAAGGAUCUUACUUAAUUUGGUUAAGCAGUUUGUAUAUCGCUAUCAUUUAAUAAUUUUGAAUAAUGAUUAUUGAAAUAAAUUUUUAUUUUGAAUGUUAGGUCAAAAUGCAGCUAAAAAUUUAGUUUGAAAUAAGUUACAUUGAUUAAUAUCGGGGAAAUUGAAAUAUUUGUUAGGAUUUAACAGUAAAUUGGAAUUAUAAUGUUUGGUUGAAUAGAGCUCUAGAAUAUGUACACAUCGCCCGUCGCUCUCAUU